UGCCAGCAGCCGCGGUAAUACGGGGGGGCAAGCGUUAUUCGGAAUUACUGGGCGUAAAGGGCACGCAGGCGGCCCGGUCAGUGAGAAGUGAAAGCCCUCGGCUUAACCGGGGAACGGCUUCUCAUACUGCCGAGCUUGAGUGUGGGAGAGGAGGAUGGAAUUCCCGGUGGAGCGGUGAAAUGCGUAGAGAUCGGGAGGAACACCAGUGGCGAAGGCGAUUCUCUGGACCACUACUGACGCUGAGGUGCGAAAGCGUGGGGAGCAAACAGGAUUAGAUA
rnacentral:rRNA from 1 species